AGAGGUGUCGGAUAGUGGUCUAUUCCGCGAGACUUGAAUGGCUAUUAUGUGCUUUCUGAUCUCGUGCCCUCUGGGCUCGCGCGUUCAAAUCGCGUCACCUCUA